GCUCAGGAUGAACGCUGGCGGCGUGCCUAAUACAUGCAAGUCGAGCGAACAGAUAAGGAGCUUGCUCCUUUGACGUUAGCGGCGGACGGGUGAGUAACACGUGGGUAACCUACCUAUAAGACUGGAAUAACUCCGGGAAACCGGGGCUAAUGCCGGAUAAUAUUUAGAACCGCAUGGUUCUAAAGUGAAAGAUGGUUUUGCUAUCACUUAUAGAUGGACCCGCGCCGUAUUAGCUAGUUGGUGGGGUAAUGGCUUACCAAGGCAACGAUACGUAGCCGACCUGAGAGGGUGAUCGGCCACACUGGAACUGAGACACGGUCCAGACUCCUACGGGAGGCAGCAGUAGGGAAUCUUCCGCAAUGGGCGAAAGCCUGACGGAGCAACGCCGCGUGAGUGAUGAAGGUCUUCGGAUCGUAAAACUCUGUUAUUAGGGAAGAACAAAUGUGUAAGUAACUGUGCACGUCUUGACGGUACCUAAUCAGAAAGCCACGGCUAACUACGUGCCAGCAGCCGCGGUAAUACGUAGG
rnacentral:rRNA from 1 species